rnacentral:rRNA from 1 species
CUACGCACUCCUACGGGAGGCAUCAGUGGGGAAUAUUGCACAAUGGGCGCAAGCCUGAUGCAGCCAUGCCGCGUGUAUGAAGAAGGCCUUCGGGUUGUAAAGUACUUUCAGCAGUGAGGAAGGUGGGUAUGUUAAUAGCAUACUCAUUUGACGUUAGCUGCAGAAGAAGCACCGGCUAACUCCGUGCCAGCAGCCGCGGUAAUACGGAGGGUGCGAGCGUUAAUCGGAAUUACUGGGCGUAAAGCGCAUGCAGGUGGUUUGUUAAGUCAGAUGUGAAAGCCCGGGGCUCAACCUCGGAAUUGCAUUUGAAACUGGCAAACUAGAGUACUGUAGAGGGGGUAGAAUUUCAGGUGUAGCGGUGAAAUGCGUAGAGAUCUGAAGGAAUACCGGUGGCGAAGGCGGCCCCCUGGACAGAUACUGACACUCAGAUGCGAAAGCGUGGGGAGCAAACAGGAUUAGAUACCCUGGUAG